UUAAAAAACUGUCGAUAAACAUCGUUGUGAGCUAGCUAACCAAUUUAUCAUGUAAUUUUCCUAGAACUUACAGUAAUUAUGUCUGUCUGUGUCUGAUGGUCUGUUUGUCUUUCUAAUUUAGUUAACGUUAGCUAAGUUAACUAGCAUAGUUAUUGCAGAAAGUUAGCUAACCGAGGGUCUUCAUUUUAUUUUUGAGUUUCCUCCUCUUGGUUUAGUGUGCUGUUCAUUUUCAUUAUGGCAUGUGUGCGUGCGGUGUUGUAAUGAGUGGUGGACAUCUUGGGUUGGAGGACAGAUGACAGAAAACGAGUCGCACUUUCACCUGCAACCUUUUUAUACAGUCAGCAAUAACGUUACGCAUUUUACUGUCGGCCGUUUCACCGAUGCAUCGGCAGAGGAAAUGGUAUCAGAAGUCUGGAGCUGAGGAGCGAUGCUAUCACUAUCAGCGUUGCUGAAACGAAAGGAAGGACCUGAAUCUGUGGAGACCAGCCAUUAUUAAACAUUAAAAAUGAUCUGUACUCGACUGCAGCUUCUUCCACUCUAACUGAGAUGUGAUGGUGAAGCACGUUCAGAACAUCCAUGAACACAGCACGCUGGAACCAGCUACAACAUACCUUAUACGUAUACGCAUCAGCCCUCAUGGAGUCCACUGCACCUUCCCCGCUUAGCAGAUUGGCCAAAAGAUCCUCAUGGAUGGAUGAGGCAGUCGGCCUUUGUCGGUUAACGGUUUAACACUGGACAUAAAUGUGAAACCAGCACAGAAGUCUUGGUUCACGGUUUUCAGGUUAAGAUCUUUAUUAAUGAAGGCAAAGCUAGAUCAGUCCUACAAUUAAUAUUAUCCUCAGCCAAAGACAUACUCAGUCACAUUUGUCUAUUUGUAAGAUAUCUAAAAAGCAUCUCUAAAAGAGAGAUUUAGAUGAAAUCUAAUAAACAAAUAUGUCUCAGCCAACGCUGGAGGUGUGACUUUUGAUGUUCUCAACAUUGCAAGAAACUAUUUUGUUUUGUCACUGUACUCAGUCAAAAGAAUGGUCUGUGGGUAUUUUCAUGUAGAGCCAGUAAUUGUUAUUUAAAAUAUUUUCUAUUAAUAAAAACUUGAGAAUUGUACAGCUUUGGUUUGCUGUUGAGUCUUUUCUAGUUUAAUAUGUUUCAUUUUGACCAUACCCAUUUAGUGCAUCAACACAUAUUUUAAAAAGUUUGUGUUAUUGUUAAUUGCAAUUCAUGAAUAUUAGAUUACAUUAAAUGUGAUUAAUUUUAUUGUCAACCUAAUGAGGCUGUAUAAAAUGCUUAAAUACCCCAUUCUUCAGGACACAACAAAUAAAGGUAAGGACUUCAUAAUGUGCCUGCCUUAGGCCUGCCUAAGCUGUAUGACAUGCUUAGUACUAUAGGGACAUAAUAUCUACAGCUAAAGCUGGUGAAAAUAUCUGAUAGCCUACAUAAACAGAACUCCGUUUUAAUCUCUCCAGUUUACUAUUUAUCCUCUUAGUAAAAUUCACAACAAGUCAACUUUACAUGCAGAAGAUCAAGUAUACGGUUGUAUUGUAACUGUAUAGACAAAAAUAGCACAGUUGA